GAUCAACGCUGGCGGCGUGCAUGAGACAUGCAAGUCGAACGGACGACAUCGGGCUUGCCUGGUGUCGUUAGUGGCGGACGGCUGAGUAACGCGUAGGUGACCUGCCCCGAAGUGGGGAAUAACUGCCCGAAAGGGUGGCUAAUACCGCAUGUGGUGAUGCGUUCAUUCGCAUCAGUAAAGCCGCAAGGCGCUUCGGGAGGGGCCUGCGUCCGAUUAGCUCGUUGGUGGGGUAACGGCUCACCAAGGCGACGAUCGGUAGGUGGUCUGAGAGGACGAUCACCCAGACUGGGACUGAGACACGGCCCAGACUCCUACGGGAGGCAGCAGUCGGGAAUUUUGCGCAAUGGACGAAAGUCUGACGCAGCAACGCCGCGUGAGGGAUGACGGCCUUCGGGUUGUAAACCUCUUUUGUCAGGGACGAUGAUGACGGUACCUGACGAAUAAGCCACGGCUAACUACGUGCCAGCCGCCGCAGUAAGAC
rnacentral:rRNA from 1 species